AUCCAUCUGACCAGUUCCAAAUUGGACGAAAUGCGCGUCGUCGAU
rnacentral:hammerhead_ribozyme from 1 species